rnacentral:rRNA from 1 species
UGGCUAAUACAUGCGCAAAUACUAUAUUUCUUGUAAAUAUAGUAGUGUUUAUUAGAUACAGAACCAAUACGUCGCAGUUUGUUAACUGUGGCGUAGACUACUUAGGUGAUUCAUAGUAACCGAACGGAUCGCAUUAUACUCAUUUUCCAUAAUGAUUGGCGAUAGAUCAUUCAAGUU